rnacentral:rRNA from 1 species
UAGCGUAGGGCGCAAGCGUUAUCCGGAAUUAUUGGGCGUAAAGAGCUCGUAGGCGGUUUGUCGCGUCUGCCGUGAAAGUCCGGGGCUCAACUCCGGAUCUGCGGUGGGUACGGGCAGACUAGAGUGAUGUAGGGGAGACUGGAAUUCCUGGUGUAGCGGUGAAAUGCGCAGAUAUCAGGAGGAACACCGAUGGCGAAGGCAGGUCUCUGGGCAUUAACUGACGCUGAGGAGCGAAAGCAUGGGGAGCGAACAGG